GCCCGGUGCUGGAAGGUUAAGAGGAGCGCUUAGCGUAAGCGAAGGUGCGAAUUGAAGCCCCAGUAAACGGCGGCCGUAACUAUAACGGUCCUAAGGUAGCGAAAUUCCUUGUCGGGUAAGUUCCGACCCGCACGAAAGGCGCAACGAUCUGGGCACUGUCUCAACGAGAGACUCGGUGAAAUUAUAGUACCUGUGAAGAUGCAGGUUACCCGCGACAGGACGGAAAGACCCCGUGGAGCUUUACUGCAGCCUGAUAUUGAAUGUUGGUACAGCUUGUACAGGAUAGGUAGGAGCCUUGGAAACCGGAGCGCCAGCUUCGGUGGAGGCAUCGGUGGGAUACUACCCUGGCUGUAUUGACCUUCUAACCCGCCGCCCU
rnacentral:rRNA from 1 species